rnacentral:rRNA from 1 species
UACGAAGGGUGCAACCGUUGCUCGGAAUUAUUGGGCGUAAAGCGCACGUAGGCGGCUUGGCAAGUCGGAUGUGAAAGCCCUCGGCUCAACCAAGGAAGUGCAUCCGAAACUGCUGAGCUUGAGUACUUAAGAGGAUCGCGGAAUUCCCGGUGUAGAGGUGAAAUUCGUAGAUAUCGAGAGGAACACCGGUGGCGAAGGCGGCCUUCUGGACAGUGACUGACGCUGAGACGCGAAAGCGUGGGGAGCAAACAGG